rnacentral:rRNA from 1 species
CAGCAGCCACGGGAAUACGAAGGGGGCUAGCGUUGUUCGGAUUAACUGGGCGUAAAGGGCGCGUAGGCGGGUUUUUAAGUCAGAGGUGAAAUCCCAAGGCUCAACCUUGGAACUGCCUUUGAUACUGGAAGUCUUGAGUACGGAAGAGGUAUGUGGAACUCCGAGUGUAGAGGUGAAAUUCGUAGAUAUUCGGAAGAACACCAGUGGCGAAGGCGACAUACUGGUCCGUUACUGACGCUGAGGCUCGAAAGCGUGGGGAGCAAACAGGAUUAGAUACCCCGGUAGUCCCUGUCUCUUAUAC